rnacentral:pre_miRNA from 1 species
AGUGAGAUAGCUGGGUCAAAUGAAGGUUCCAUUCCAAGUUUUCUGAGGAAUCUCCAUAAUGCUUUACAUAAUGGUUGCACCAAUUUGCCGUCCCACCAGCAAU